rnacentral:sRNA from 4 species
UGUAUCUGAAGUCUGACGAGGAUGAGAACCUCCGGGGGCAAGAGGUUCGACUCGAGCGAAGCGAGAGAACGUUGCGUCAGCAACGGCCCGCAGGGCGAGCCACGCAGUGGCGAGUCAUCCUCUAUCACCGA